UGGAAAUGGUUGGAGGCUGAGAUGGGCUGGCUGCUUUGUUUCCCAAACCAGAUGGAGCUGUGCAGGCAGGCUGCCCAUAGGACAGCACCCAUGCAGAGGCUCUGCCCCAGCAAACAGACUACCCUUUUUGACUGGUACUGGGCAGUCUGCUCUGGGGGAGCCCAGGUCAUAACUGGCAUUUCCCAGAUGUAGGGGCUUGCAGUCUUCCCUGCCCGAGGUCAGAAGCAAGGCUGGCCAUGGUGUUCAAGCAUAAACCCCUGUGACGGGGCAGCCUGGUUUCUAGACCUUAGCUGCUCAUCUGCAUCUGUUCCAUGCUGCCCCACACAGCCAGAUCUGGGGCACAGCAUCCAUGGGAUCAGCCAUGGGGACCCGUGCAUGCCUCACAGACUGUGCUUUGAGGAGAAGGCCAGCUCCUCCCAUCCUGUGCUUGCUGAAAAUAAGAGCAGCUACCCAGAGGCUGUGGCACUUGGGAAGUGACAUAGUUCAGAGCCAAUGCUGAGGAGUCCUAAGGCAUGCCACCUUAGCACAGCUCUUUAUUGUCUGAAUAACAGUGAGUCUUCAAUAGUUCAUCUGAGUGAUAAUUCAGAGAUGAACAUGUUAGGCAAUGUGUGAGUAAGCACUGUGAACAGUGUGGUUCUUGCUGUUUUCUCUGCAGAGACACUCAUGACAAUUUCUUCUGGUGAGCCCCGUGAAGAGUUUCAUCACUGGUGUGGAGGGUGCCUGGUGCUCUUCCCAGUCAGCAUCCAAGGUCUUCUGCUUGUUUGCUUUUACACACACUGAAACCUGUGCUCUGAAGCUGUCAGAAAAUCAGAAAACUUCCAUGUAAUGUGCCAUUCCUUCUCAGCUGUGCAGGGAUGCUGCCACCCCAUCACAACAUGGAGAUGGAGAGACUUCAGAAGGACAGGCGGGUGCCAGUGAUGGAUUCUCAUCAAAGACACUGAAGAUUUUAAUUAGGGUCCUUUGCCCUGAUUGAGAGCUAGAACAGCUCUCCUGUGACAUUUGGGGAGGAAGAUUUCAGUGCCUCUCCUGUGAAGCCUUCCCAAACAUCAUAACACUGCUCAAAGCACAGCUGACGCCUUGUGGAGGCUGACCUAGAACAGAGACUAGAC